GCGUCGGUGGUGCAGCGGUUCAGCACAGGCUUCCGGAGAGCGUGAGAUCUGGGUUCGAUUCCCGGCUGAGGCA